GAUGAACGCUGGCGGCGUGCUUAACACAUGCAAGUCGAACGGAAAGGCCCAAUCUUGCUUGGGUACUCGAGUGGCGAAAGGGUGAGUAACACGUGGGUGAUCUGCCCUGCACUUCGGGAUACGCCUGGGGAACUGGGUUUACUACCGGACAGGACGACGUUAUGGAUGCAUUUGUGGAAAGAUUUUUGGGUGUGGGGUGAGCUAGCGGCCUAUCAGCUUUUUGGUGGUGUGAUGGCCUAGCAAGGCGUCGGGGGGUAGCCGGGCUAGGGGGGUGUACGGCCACAUUGGGACGUAGAGGAGGCCCAGACUCCUACGGGAGGCAGCAGUGGGGAAUAUUGCACAAUGGGCGAAAGCCUGAUGCAGCGACGCCGCGUGGGGGAUGACGGCGUUGGGGUUGUAAACUCCUGUCGCUAGGGACGAGGCGUUUUUGUGACGGUACCUGGAGAAGAAGCACCGGCUAACUACGUG
rnacentral:rRNA from 1 species